UCCCAGACUCCUACGGGAGGCAGCAGCGGGGAAUAUUGCACAAUGGGGGAAACCCUGAUGCAGCAACGCCGCGUGAGUGAGGAAGUAUUUCGGUAUGUAAAGCUCUAUCAGCAGGGAAUAGAAAAGAAGGUACCUGAAAAAGAAGCCCCGGCUAACUACGUGCCAGCAGCCGCGGUAAUACGUAGGGGGCAAGCGUUAUCCGGAUUUACUGGGUGUAAAGGGAGCGUAGACGGUAUGGCAAGUCUGAUGUGAAAACCCGGGGCUCAACCUCGGGACUGCAUUGGAAACUGUCGGACUAGAGUGUCGGAGAGGCAAGUGGAAUUCCUAGUGUAGCGGUGAAAUGCGUAGAUAUUAGGAGGAACACCGGUGGCGAAGGCGGCCUGCUGGACUGCGACUGACGUUGAGGCCCGAAAGCGUGGGGAGCAAACAGGAUUAGAUACCCCCGUACGA
rnacentral:rRNA from 1 species